GGGGGACGGGCGGUUGCUAUACAUGCAAGUCGAACGCGUUGGCCCAAUUGAUUGAUGGUGCUUGCACCUGAUUGAUUUUGGUCGCCAACGAGUGGCGGACGGGUGAGUAACACGUAGGUAACCUGCCCAGAAGCGGGGGACAACAUUUGGAAACAGAUGCUAAUACCGCAUAACAACGUUGUUCGCAUGAACAACGCUUAAAAGAUGGCUUCUCGCUAUCACUUCUGGAUGGACCUGCGGUGCAUUAGCUUGUUGGUGGGGUAACGGCCUACCAAGGCGAUGAUGCAUAGCCGAGUUGAGAGACUGAUCGGCCACAAUGGGACUGAGACACGGCCCAUACUCCUACGGGAGGCAGCAGUAGGGAAUCUUCCACAAUGGGCGCAAGCCUGAUGGAGCAACACCGCGUGAGUGAAGAAGGGUUUCGGCUCGUAAAGCUCUGUUGUUAAAGAAGAACACGUAUGAGAGUAACUGUUCAUACGUUGACGGUAUUUAACCAGAAAGUCACGGCUAACUACGUGCCAGCAGCCGCGGUAAUACGUAGGUGGCAAGCGUUAUCCGGAUUUAUUGGGCGUAAAGAGAGUGCAGGCGGUUUUCUAAGUCUGAUGUGAAAGCCUUCGGCUUAACCGGAGAAGUGCAUCGGAAACUGGAUAACUUGAGUGCAGAAGAGGGUAGUGGAACUCCAUGUGUAGCGGUGGAAUGCGUAGAUAUAUGGAAGAACACCAGUGGCGAAGGCGGCUACCUGGUCUGCAACUGACGCUGAGACUCGAAAGCAUGGGUAGCGAACAGGAUUAGAUACCCUGGUAGUCCAUGCCGUAAACGAUGAGUGCUAGGUGUUGGAAGGGUUUCCGCCCUUCAGUGCCGGAGCUAACGCAUUAAGCACUCCGCCCGGGGGAGUACGACCGCCAGGGUUGAAACUCAAAAGGAAUUGACGGGGGGCCCGCACAAACCGGUGGAACAUGUGGUUUAAAUUCCAAGCUACGCCAAAAAACCUUACCAGGUCU
rnacentral:rRNA from 2 species